UACGGAGGGUGCAAACGUUGCUCGGAAUCAUUGGGCGUAAAGCGCACGUAGGCGGUCCGGUAAGUCGGAUGUGAAAGACCUCGGCUCAACUGAGGAAGUGCAUUCGAAACUGCUGGACUUGAGUACGGGAGAGGGAUGCGGAAUUCCCGGUGUAGAAGUGAAAUUCGUAGAUAUCGGGAGGAACACCAGUGGCGAAGGCGGCAUCCUGGACCGAUACUGACGCUGAGGUGCGAAAGCGUGGGGAGCAAACAGG
rnacentral:rRNA from 1 species